rnacentral:rRNA from 1 species
UACGUAGGGGGCGAGCGUUACCCGGAUUUACUGGGCGUAAAGAGCGUGUAGGCGGCUGGCCAAGCGUGAUGUGAAAUCUUCGGGCUUAACCCGAAAACUGCAUUGCGAACUGGUCUGGCUAGAGUGUGUGAGAGGGUAGUGGAAUUCCCGGUGUAGCGGCGAAAUGCGUAGAUAUCGGGAGGAACACCAGUGGCGAAGGCGGCUACCUGGCACAUAACUGACGCUGAUACGCGAAAGCGUGGGGAGCGAACCGG